rnacentral:rRNA from 1 species
UCGACUGUUUACCAAAAACAUAGCCCUAAUAUGAAUUUAAGGUGUUGCCUGCCCAGUGGUUGAAAAAUUUAUUUAACAUAAAAAACUUCAAUUAAACGGCCGCGGUAUUUUGACCGUGUUAAUGUAGCAUAAUAAUUAGUCGUUUAAUUGGCGAAUGGUAUGAAUGGUGAAACGAAAACUACACUGUCUCAAAAGUAUAACAAAAAAAUUAAGAUUAUAGUAAAGACGCUAUAAACAACUGUAAGACGAAAAGACCCUAUAAAGCUUAACUAUAUAUCAUAUUCAAAUUAGAUUAAAACAAAAAAUUAAAUAUGAUUUGGUAGUUUGGUUGGGGCAACAGCAUUUUAAAAAUAAAAAAUGUAAACAAAAUAAUUUAAUAAGCUUAUUUAUUGUUUAACUAAUCAGUUUAACAAUCAUGAAAUGGGUUAUAAUGACCUGUCAGAAUAACAAAACAUAACUGACAAUAAAUAAAUAAAAGCUACUUUAGGGAUAACAGGUUAAUUUCGUCUUAGAGAAGAUAUUAAAGACGAAGUUUGACACCUCGAUGUUGAAUUGAGAUAUCCUGAUGGUGCAGCAGCUAUCAAAGGUAGGUCUGUUCGACCUUUAAAAUCUCACAUGAUUUGAGUUCAUUCCGUA